CUUCUAGUGUUUAUGUGAAUUGUAUGUAGGUAUUUAUGAAAUUAGAGACGCAGGUCAACAUAUUUUUUCAAUGACUUAUUCACCAUUCCUGAUGAGAACCAAACGUUUGGCAGCCCUUUAUCCAUUAUUAUGCGCAUCCUCCAGCUUCAAGCACGAGGCAAAGACCACUUCAAAGACAUGGAUCUCAAGAGCUCGCCUUCAUAAUUAUCCUGAAGACUAAAGUCUGUCUCAGAGUCUGCUUCCUGGAAAACCCAAACUGCCACAGUUGGAGCCAAGAGAGAUCGAGAAAGCAGAUGACAAGAUGGGGUUUGGAAGCUGGAUCACUACCUGGAUGGUAUGAGGACCUCAUCACUGGUGAUGGAUGGAGCACAGAUAGCCCCUGACAUAAGUUGCAAUAGUAAAUGGAUAAUGCAGCAAGGACAUGGCGACCAGGAACCCAGACCUCUCUGGGAUGUGAAUCUAGAUCAUGACCCCAGGUGUCGAUCCCAAAGGCACUCCCUGAUAAACAUCCUGGACGCUAAACUCUGACUCAGGGUCUUCCUGCAGAGCCUGAACUGUGAAAAUGCCCUGUCAUCACAAAU